rnacentral:rRNA from 1 species
UUUGGAGAGUUUGAUCCUGGCUCAGGACGAACGCUGGCGGCGUGCCUAAUACAUGCAAGUCGAGCGGAGCAGGAAUGGAAGCUUGCUUCCAUUCCUGCUUAGCGGCGGACGGGUGAGUA